CAGUCGCCGCGGUAAUACAGAGGGUGCAAGCGUUAAUCGGAAUUACUGGGCGUAAAGCGCGCGUAGGUGGUUUGUUAAGUUGGAUGUGAAAUCCCCGGGCUCAACCUGGGAACUGCAUCCAAAACUGGCAAGCUAGAGUAUGGUAGAGGGUGGUGGAAUUUCCUGUGUAGCGGUGAAAUGCGUAGAUAUAGGAAGGAACACCAGUGGCGAAGGCGACCACCUGGACUGAUACUGACACUGAGGUGCGAAAGCGUGGGGAGCAAACAGGAUUAGAUACCCGUGUAGUCCCUGUCUCUUAUAC
rnacentral:rRNA from 1 species